GCCGCCUGAAAGCGUUCCUCUGAACUCUCUCUAAAACUCCGUUAAGGCUCGAGGGUUGUUAGAAGGACCUCGGCGCUUAACAUUUUUCCCUUUCGCUCUAAUUUUGAGCUUUUUCUCUUGAGCUCUGAGAGGACUUUAAACUUUUCGAUCGUUUGUUUUUUACCAGAAGCGCCGGCAGGGAACGUUCACGGACGGUGUAGGUGGCCUUCUGGCCUGAAAGGCAGCCGCACGCACGUUGCGUUGAGAAGCCAGGUGUGAAUUACGGCGCGGGAGAGGAGUAGUGAGACAGGUUGCCAUGGCUCGGCUGAUAGAAGGUGGAAUGAGAAGAGUAUAGGUGGAAUGAGAAGAGUACGAGCUGCAAGAAGGCUGCACCAUGCACCAGGGUACCAGAGGUCUUUGAAGAGUCAUUUGCGAUGUUUCAACUCAGCAAAGCAAGCUGCUGUGAAGUCCGGCCUCAAAAGACAAUUAUUCUUCAGUACUUUGAGCUCUAGGAGUACUCUCUUGUAUUCUGAAAAAUAAGAAUUGAAAAUAUCUAACUAAUGGCGUCUUCCCCUUCCACAAGCUAUAGCCCAUCCACCUCUGAAUUCAUUAAUGAUUCCUUCCUCAGUGUUGCCAUCCUACUCUUUGCCUGCUUCACAACCAUCUGUUUUUAGAUAGUACAAAGCUGCUGUGGGUCCAUGCUGGAAUUCCUCAUUUACCAUAUACUGUUCUUGCUGUGUGAGUCAAUGCCUUCCUAAUGUGAAUAUGGUUUUAUUUAUAAUGAUUUUAAAGGCACAGUAUUUUUUCAAAAAUAUUUGAAUACAGCCUGAAAGGUAAAAGAUUGUGUUAGUAGAGGCAAAUACCUGCAUUGGGUUAUUUCAGCCUGAACAAAUCAUGUUUGUCUGAUACAGACACCUAAAAGCAGAAUCUCAUAAUGGGAAAAUGCCAGAAAAUCUUGAGAAGGAAUCACACUGCCAACUCUGCCUAUGAAAUAAAUUAUGUUUACUAAUGAUUAUAUUUCCCCUUGUAUCUAUACAGGGAGCCCAGAGUUCCUGUUCUUUGGAGCUGAGAUGUCGAAUGCAUUUCCUGACAGCUCCAGCUCACUUUUCAUUAUUGAUAAGUUAAAACAAUGUGGCUGUUAGCUGUUCUGUAAUUUGUCCAAUGAGCUUAGGAAACAGCUGCAGCUUGAGGAGGAAGACAUGAAAAGAACUCACGUAUAAUAUGAUAGCGGCAUCUGAGCUCCCUCUGCCUUGCUGCCAAGCUGACGGUUGUCACAAAAUGAAGGCUCUCUGCCUUCUGCUUUGCAGCUUACUUUGCUGCUACGGCCUAGGAAUGGAGCAGUUAUGACUGAAGAUGGGAAGUGCUUCUGGUGCUAAUGGGUAUUUUAGGAAAUGGGAAUAUUGGCAAACGUGGAAGGCAAAUAGGUCAAAGGGAUCUCACUGAUCUCACUGUGUUAAGUGGGGGACAGAGUAAAAACAGGGUGAUUACAACAGUUCUUUUUUUUUAGUUAAUUUGCUGCCCAUGGUGGUUAUCUAAGAAUUCUGAAAUACUUGCCUGUUUUGGUUUUUUCUUUUUUUUUAUUCUAAUCCACAAGAUAGCUGACAGGGUAACUUGUCUCUUAUUACAGAAAAGAUUUAGCAUGUUUACUUAAAACUAUUCAUGCUAAAACCCAUAUGAAUAUGUAAGAAAACGAUUCUGUAUAGCAGCAUUUACAUGAGGAUUGAAGUAUUACCACACAGUAAUAAUGAAAUCUAAAGAUACAGCUAAGAUAAAUGACAGGAAAUUAUACAUAAAAAUAGGAGAAUUCUCCAUAGAAUAAAUCUAAAGCUUAUCAUAAACAAAGAAAAAAUAAAAGGAACAGGAAGAAAAGUAGAGAGAAAAAGCACUGAGGUAAGAGGAGAUAAGCAUAAAAAGAAUUUGUAUCAAGGAGAAAAAAAAUUAAAAAGACUAUAAAGGGCAAACCAUUUCCCAUGUUCAAGAUUAUCUGUCUGUAACAGCUGAGUAAAGGCUUCUUUCUUCUGAAUGUCUGCUGUAGUGAGUACAACUCAUGUUAUUGUCCAGUUAGUGUUAUUACAAACUGAUGCGCUGUCAGAGAUUUUGGCACUUAGGCAAAUGUUGUGGAAUUAACGUAAAAAGCCAACGAGCGUGACAGGAAAAUCAUGGUAAAGUGAAAAGUAUGGAAGUUGAAAAUAACCUUCUUAGAUAUCAAAAAUAGCCUUGAAAAUUAAGAGGAAGCUAACAGAAGAAAUAGAAGGUUGUUAAGAAUGUAGGCAGGUGCUAAGUACAGAAGCAGAAUGCCAAGAAAAUGAAAUGUGAUAUUAAAAGCAAAAAAUGAAUUUCUCACUUCCAAUUAGGGAAUAAUGGUGACUAUGACCUGUGUGGGUGGGCACAGACGGUCAUUUAUCUUUUGGACGAAAACACAAGAGUUGCCAAAAGUCUUGCCAUCUGAGGCUUUGUCUCAAUUUACUUUCUUAAGGAUGACUUGGCAAGAUUAUCUAGGAUUUAUUCUUGAAAGAGAUAUGAGAAUAGAUCACAUACAGUAUUGUCUGUUUCUCUAGCACUUGUCUCUGCCCUGUCAAUUGUACUGAAUUGCAUAAAACAGAGAAUUUGGCUUGCAAGGGCAGGUAUGAAUGGAACAAGGAACUUAAAGAAGUAGAGGUCUGGUUAGAGGUACAGAUAAAAACAUUUUAGGAAAAAAAGAAAAGAGAAAACAUCAUCAAAUAACAUACAGAAAUACUAAAUCUAGCUGGAGAAUAUACUGCUAUCAAAGUAAUGAUGAAGGGAUCAAGACAACGAAAAGAUACUAUUUGCCUAUAUUAGAAAGGUCAGCGUGAAUAAAACAAGCAGACAGACAUAAUAAGGAAGAAUGCUACAUUUUAAAAAAUUUUAGGUGAGAUGAAAAAUAGCUGUAAUGUUAAAAACAGAAUUGAAGACUGUUUUAUUAUAAGAAGACUUUUAUUAUAUGCUCAUUUGUGAUUCUAGUGCGAAUAAAUGCAAAUAAAGGAUCUCAAAGAAGACUCUUAGCUGCUAUCAUGAGAGUUAGAAGCUGGAUUUAGGGAGUUGGUAAAUUGCAGAAAAUUUGAAUCUAGAAGACAUAGAAUGUGAUAUUCAAAAUAGUGUAAGACUUGAACUGGAAGAAAAAAAACUUGAAUCUGGCACUCCAUCUUAGGUAAGGUAAUACACAAGCCAGCAGGUCUGACAUUUCCAUUAGGCCUUAGGAAUCAUCAAAAUACCUUAGCAUUGGAUGGAUUCUGUCAGAGAUGCUCAUCAUGCACAGUCUUAUUGACUACAAUAAGAGGUUUUUUUGGCAUUCAGUGUUUACAAAUCCGUACAGAUGUAAGCAUCUAAACACAAGACUUUGAUGUUCCAAAUUUUGGCACCUGAGUUUGCGAAUAGUGAUUUGCAAUGGACUUUCACCUGCUCCAAAAUUAUCAUGAUACCAUCCUCAUCCUACUUGGUUUUGACCAAUAGCCGCUAUUAAGCUGCUAUUAGUUGUUAUUUUUAAGUAAUUCCAACAUUAUUUAUAGUGCAAUUUUAUAUACUGAAUUUAAAACUCCUGUAGCAAUUCUGAAAUGCUUAUGCAGUCCAUACAAAAUGAUACGUUGUACAAAUCCAGCAGGUUUUUGUAGUCUAUUCAUGGUCUGCUUUCCUAACAGGCUGCUGCUGCUUACCCAGCUUAGGUCUUCCAGCAAGGGGGUUGCAUUGAUAGGAGUUUGUUCACAGAACAAAGGCUUAUACUGCAAAAAUGUCAAUUGAUCAGAAGGUCAUAAAUUCAUAAUCUUGAUUAAAUUAACAGUAGAAAUUGAGAAUUUCAGCAUAUAUGAGUGGCUGCACUGGGAUUGAAUAGCUUCUUAGUGUCUAAGCAAGUACAGAAGGAAAAGUUUAACCCAAGCAGAAAUUCCUAUUUGGAAAAAUAUUUGGAUAAUUAGAUUUUCCUAAAAAUGAAUCCUCUUCUCUAACUGUGAAGUGUCAGUUAGCAGAGUUAGCAGAGUUAGCAGAGCUUCUCUGAAAGACGGAUAAGAAACAGACGCUAAGAAACAAGCGGAUAUAGAGACAUAUUGUCAUUUUUAUUUAUUUGUCUUUCUCUCCAAAUCUAGCAAUUAGUUCCUGAAACAUUCAUUCUGUUAGAGAAAAACAACAACAAGUCAUUAGCAAUUUCUUUUUACUUUUCUCUUAAGUUUUGAGAGUGAUUUCAGGGCUGUCUAGCAAAGUGUAUACUGCAUAUCCUGGCCAAUGUCAGAUGUUACUCUCUGAAUAAACUUACGUGUAUACUACAUUUGGGGAGAGAUCUUGAUUGCCAACAAAGUUAAGAGUCUGUUUGAAAGCAGCAAAAAUAUGGGGAAGAGGUCUGAAACAUUGGAUUUUUUCAAACUCAACUUAGUUUUCUUUUAUCAAAAUUGACAAAAGGUAGAAUAUAAAUAUUUCAUAAACAGUAAGCUAAAAAUAUUAACAUCCUGACAGAUGGUUACAUAUUCAGUAUGUCUUUCAAAUUUGUGUUGCUUCUCAUUAAGAAGAGCAUCCAAAAUAUUUGUAAUCAGCUCAGAUUGUUUAUUGACACCUGCACAACAAGUUCAUGAUCCUCCAUGCUUGGGACUUUUAUCUAAGAAAGGAGAGACAAAGCAAAAAAACCCUAUAAAAGAACACUUGAGGUACUCCAUGCUUAUUACAUACUGCUUUUGGGGGAUAGAGGAGAAAUGCUUAAGGACAGGGCUAAAUUGUCAGAUACAAGUUAGAAGAAAUUCAGCUUAUUUGAGUGCAUGCCUUUCU